CCUUAAAGCACAUCCAGAGUCCCCCCAGCUAACCUCUGAUUGGCUCCUUGCCACGUGGAGGGUAUCCGAGCUCCUAGUGACCAGGGCAGACCCAGCAAGAGAGCUGUCUCCUGCCAACGUCAAUCUGGUUGGCUUGGGUUUGUGUCGUUAAUUUUCCAAGAUGACUCUUUUUUAACGUCGUUCGUCCUCUCCAUCUUGAAUGAUGACUAAAGUCUGGACUCUACCCUCCUGGUAGUGUGGAUGGCUCCACCGUCAUCCUGUACCAUUUUAGAGCAAAACUCCUCGAAGGAACCGUCGAUUCUCAGGAACACCAAUUCUUCCAUCCUUCUCCCCGGCAACAGUGAUGGAGCGGACAUGGAACAGAAAUGAUUAAAUGAUGAGGACAGAUGAAAUAUGGGGCCUAGGCUGGGCAGAGCUGCCUCCCAUGAAGAAAAUCUGGGGCCACCACGGCUCGCACCCGCCUUCUAUUCUGCAUCUCAUGUGCUCAGUGCUUUCAGUGGCCAGAGGACCAAGUGUUCGGUGACUUUAGGGUGGACAAAGGAAAUUGGGGGGGUGUGAGGAAGUUUUGUCUCCACAUAAACUGGCCCCAUACUGAAGACAAGAUGCUAACCCUCUUGCUUGGCCUCUUUUCUAUAUGUGUUAGAGCAUGUGUGUUCUGCCAUCACCUCUCAGAGAGAGAAACAUCAUUAUUCCUACUUCAUUGGGAAAGGCAUUGACUCAUGAGGAAUUAAUUAAUAGCUCGUCCAAGAGCACACGGAACUUUAAUGGAGGUAUCUGGAUUUCAACUCUCAUAUGCCAUUGCAACAGCAUGUGUCAGAGCUAUGAACAAAGACCUGGAAUGAGGAGCCUUCCUGCCUUGUAGAGUGGGACAUGUGACUGUGACAUGACCCAGCUUCUCAUCUACUGCGCGUACCCACAGCAUGGCAUUUGUUCAGUCUGGACAGUCUCCAGAGUGCUUCCAGAAACUGCCCCAGGAAACUUAAACUUCACCACCUGGUUCUCUCAACAGCCGGUGACUCCUCAAGUCUUUGGAGAAGGAACAGCUUCACAGAGACAUUGGACCUGUCCAGAAGUAACAUUAUUGCACUUCAUUCUCUAAAGUCCAUCAUUUCUCUAACAACUGUAGAGUUGUGCAAAUAAAAGUCGAGAAAGGAAA